rnacentral:rRNA from 1 species
UACGUAGGUGGCAAGCGUUGUCCGGAAUUAUUGGGCGUAAAGCGCGCGCAGGCGGUCAGGUAAGUCUGAUGUUAAAGCCCGGGGCUCAACCUCGGUUCGCAUUGGAAACUGUCUGACUUGAGUGCAGAAGAGGAAAGUGGUAUUCCACGUGUAGCGGUGAAAUGCGUAGAGAUGUGGAGGAACACCAGUGGCGAAGGCGACUUUCUGGUCUGUAACUGACGCUGAGGCGCGAAAGCGUGGGGAGC